GGUAUAGUUUGCUAUUGGUAAAAUAUAUAUAGAGAGAACUAUAUAUCAGGGGAAGGCGAGCAAAUGGUUUUGGAGCUGACAGUCCACCUCACAUUCUUCUCAAAAUCACUUAAGAAGUACCUAAACAGUGGGAGAUUAAGUUUGAGUUUUCCUUUGUGUAUGGAGUGGACCCAAACCUACGCAGAUCUGUUUUAUUGGCAUGGGAACGUGAGAUUAAAAGAGAAACUUGACUGUCUAUUGGGGGGAGAAAACCUCCAUUGAACACAAUGAAGUUAGUUGCUUUGCAGGAGGCAAACAGACAUUUGAUUAGAAAGUUACGCAAAAUGUGUAUAAGAGUAAAACCAGGAACAUCUGGGAUGAUUUGCACAGCAUGCGGAAUCUGGGCUAUGAAGUAUGAAUUCCUGAUAAUUAAAUGAGUGAGUAAAAUCGCUGAAAACGUUUUCUUUACUUCUUUUUAAUGAUGAUAGUUGCGAAAAUGUUCCUCCCGAAGUAUGUUUAAAGACUGUUUCCCCAACACAUGGUGAUGUAGCGUUUUAUUGAAACGCAGCUCUAUUUAGCAUGCUGGUGGCUAAGGCUAACUCGUCCUACCUUUUGGCUGUAGUCCUUUUUAUUUUUAUUGUGAAAGAAAAAAAAUAAAAUUCACUAAUUGAAACUCG